AGGUAGCGAAAUUCCUUGUCGGGUAAGUUCCGACCCGCACGAAAGGCGUAACGAUCUGGGCGCUGUCUCAACAAGAGACUCGGUGAAAUCAUAGUACCUGUGAAGAUGCAGGUUACCCGCGACAGGACGGAAAGACCCCGUGGAGCUUUACUGUAGCUUGAUAUUGAGCACUGGUGACACAUGUACAGGAUAGGUAGGAGACGAAGAAGCCAGGACGCCAGUCUUGGUGGAGUCGCUGUUGGGAUACUACCCUUGUGUUACUGGGGUUCUAACCCGUGGCCAUGAUCUGGUCAGGGAACAGUGUCAGGUGGGCAGUUUGACUGGGGCGGUCGCCUCCCAAAGAGUAACGGAGGCGCCCAAAGGUUCCCUCAGAAUGGUUGGAAAUCAUUCGAAGAGUGUAAAGGCAGAAGGGAGCUUGACUGCGAGACCUACAAGUCGAGCAGGGACGAAAGUCGGGCUUAGUGAUCCGGCGGUACCGAAUGGAAGGGCCGUCGCUCAACGGAUAAAAGCUACCCCGGGGAUAACAGGCUGAUCUCCCCCAAGAGUUCACAUCGACGGGGAGGUUUGGCACCUCGAUGUCGGCUCAUCGCAUCCUGGGGCUGUAGUCGGUCCCAAGGGUUGGGCUGUUCGCCCAUUAAAGCGGUACGCGAGCUGGGUUCAGAACGUCGUGAGACAGUUCGGUCCCUAUCCGUCGUGGGCGUAGGAAAUUUGAGAGGAGCUGUCCUUAGUACGAGAGGACCGGGAUGGACACACCGCUGGUGUACCAGUUGUUCUGCCAGGAGCAUAGCUGGGUAGCUACGUGUGGACGGGAUAAACGCUGAAAGCAUCUAAGCGUGAAGCCCCCCUCAAGAUGAGAUUUCCCAUUCGAAAGAAGUAAGAUCCCUUGAAGACGACAAGGUAGAUAGGUCAGAAGUGGAAGUGUGGUGACACAUGGAGCGGACUGAUACUAAUCGAUCGAGGACUUAACCAA
rnacentral:rRNA from 1 species